rnacentral:rRNA from 1 species
AUUAAUUCGAUGCAACGCGAAAACCUUACCUACCCUUGACAUGUCUGGAACCUUGGUGAGAGCCGAGGGUGCCUUCGGGAGCCAGAACACAGGUGCUGCAUGGCUGUCGUCAGCUCGUGUCGUGAGAUGUUGGGUUAAGUCCCGCAACGAGCGCAACCCUUGUCAUUAGUUGCCAUCAUUUGGUUGGGCACUCUAAUGAGACUGCCGGUGACAAACCGGAGGAAGGUGGGGAUGACGUCAAGUCCUCAUGGCCCUUAUGGGUAGGGCUUCACACGUCAUACAAUGGUCGGUACAGAGGGUUGCCAACCCGCGAGGGGGAGCUAAUCCCACAAAGCCGAUCGUAGUCCGGAUCGCAGUCUGCAACUCGACUGCGUGAAGUCGGAAUCGCUAGUAAUCGUGGAUCAGCAUGUCACGGUGAAUACGUUCCCGGGUCUU